rnacentral:rRNA from 1 species
GUGUCAGCAGCCGCGGUAAUACGUAGGUGGCAAGCGUUGUCCGGAAUUACUGGGUGUAAAGGGUGCGUAGGUGGGUGCGCAAGUCAGAUGUGAAAUCCCGGGGCUUAACCCCGGAACUGCAUUUGAAACUGUGCGUCUUGAGUGGAGGAGAGGUAAGUGGAAUUCCCAGUGUAGCGGUGAAAUGCGUAGAUAUUGGGAGGAACACCAGUGGCGAAGGCGACUUACUGGACUCUAACUGACACUGAGGCACGAAAGCGUGGGGAGCAAACAGGAUUAGAUACCCUGGUAGUCCACGCUGUAAACGAUGAUUACUAGGUGUAGGGGGUAUCGACUCCCCCUGUGCCGCAGCUAACGCAAUAAGUAAUCCACCUGGGGAGUACGGCCGCAAGGUUGAA